rnacentral:snRNA from 1 species
AGCUUUGCACAGUGGCAGUAUCAUAGCCAGUGAGGUUUAUCUGAGGCAUGAUUAUUGCUAAUUGAAAACGGAAUGUACAUAAAUAGCAAGUCAGCUACUCCUCCAGGAAGGCCUCCUAAGAAAUCAAGAAUAGCCUUAUUUUGGAAAUAUCUCCACAGCCAUCUGUGGG